GAUGAACGCUGGCGGCGUGCCUAAUACAUGCAAGUCGAGCGAACAGAUGAGGAGCUUGCUCCUCUGACGUUAGCGGCGGACGGGUGAGUAACACGUGGAUAACCUACCUAUAAGACUGGGAUAACUUCGGGAAACCGGAGCUAAUACCGGAUAAUAUAUUGAACCGCAUGGUUCAAUAGUGAAAGACGGUUUUGCUGUCACUUAUAGAUGGAUCCGCGCCGCAUUAGCUAGUUGGUAAGGUAACGGCUUACCAAGGCAACGAUGCGUAGCCGACCUGAGAGGGUGAUCGGCCACACUGGAACUGAGACACGGUCCAGACUCCUACGGGAGGCAGCAGUAGGGAAUCUUACGCAAAGGGCGAAAGCCUGACGGAGCAACGCCGCGUGAGUGAUGAAGGUCUUCGGAUCGUAAAACUCUGUUAUUAGGGAAGAACAAAUGUGUAAGUAACUAUGCACGUCUUGACGGUACCUAAUCAGAAAGCCACGGCUAACUACGUG
rnacentral:rRNA from 1 species